AGUCGAGCGGAUGAGUGGAGCUUGCUCCAUGAUUCAGCGGCGGACGGGUGAGUAAUGCCUAGGAAUCUGCCUGGUAGUGGGGGACAACGUUUCGAAAGGAACGCUAAUACCGCAUACGUCCUACGGGAGAAAGCAGGGGACCUUCGGGCCUUGCGCUAUCAGAUGAGCCUAGGUCGGAUUAGCUAGUUGGUGAGGUAAAGGCUCACCAAGGCGACGAUCCGUAACUGGUCUGAGAGGAUGAUCAGUCACACUGGAACUGAGACACGGUCCAGACUCCUACGGGAGGCAGCAGUGGGGAAUAUUGGACAAUGGGCGAAAGCCUGAUCCAGCCAUGCCGCGUGUGUGAAGAAGGUCUUCGGAUUGUAAAGCACUUUAAGUUGGGAGGAAGGGCAGUAAGUUAAUACCUUGCUGUUUUGACGUUACCGACAGAAUAAGCACCGGCUAACUUCGUGCCAGCAGCCGCGGUAAUACGA
rnacentral:rRNA from 1 species